CAGAGAUAUGAAAAUCCUCUUCACUACAUUUUGAUGACAAUAAAGCACAAAAUAGUAGCCAAUAACGUAUAUUUGAUGGAUUGCUGCUGGUUGUUGACUUGCUUAUUUCAUUGUUGCUGCCUUGCUGGUUGUUCUAUUGAAUUACUGAAACUUGUUCAUCAGCAGUCCUUUUUCAGCCUGAAUCAGAUUUUUGC